rnacentral:rRNA from 1 species
CACAAGCAGAGGAGCAUGUGGCUUAAUUCGAUGCAACGCGAAGAACCUUACCCGGGUUUGACAUGUGACUGCACGGCCUGUGAAAGCAGGCCUCCUUCGAGGGUGUCACACAGGUGCUGCAUGGCUGUCGUCAGUUCGUGCCGUGAGGUGUUUGGUUAAGUCCAGCAACGAACGCAACCCCUGUGUCCAGUUGCCAGCGCGCAAAGGCGGGAACUCUGGACAGACUGCCCGUUCACACGGGAGGAAGGUGGGGAUGACGUCAAGUCAGUAUGGCCCUUACAUCCGGGGCUGCACACGUGCUACAAUGGCCGGCACAAAGGGAAGCUUGACCGCGAGGUUUGGCCAACCCCCAAAACCGGCCCCAGUUCAGAUUGGGGUCUGCAACCCGACCCCAUGAAGGCGGAAUUGCUAGUAAUUGCAGAUCAGCAUGCUGCAGUGAAUACGUUCCCGGGCCUU